UGAGUGCAAGUGAAAUAAGGUUAUCUGCUUCAGAAUGCUACCUAUGCCAAAUGGUUUAGUGUUGCUAGAAGAGGAGACACACAAACACACAUCCAGGCAAAGACAGUCCCACAUAAAUGUAAUGGAGUGCCAAAAAUCCUUCCUACAUGCAUCUAUCUGAUUAGACAGCAGACUCUUCAAGGUGUGUAGUGGUAAGAAAAGAGACAACAAACAAAAAUGGCAAUGCAGAAAGUUCUGACUGGAAACAGAAACAGGUGCCCAGAGAGGUGGAAUUUCCAUUCUCAAAUAUAUUAAAAACUCAGCUGGACAAAGAGCUAAGUCCAUCUCACCUCACAUGUCUAGUGCCAGGGCUUGAACUAGAUGACCCCCCAGAAGUCCCUUCCAACCAAAAUUAUUCUAUGAUUUUAUGAAAAGUGACUGCUGUAUCAUUAAUCCAUCUUAAACUGAUGGAAGUUAUUUUGACAGUACUAAUGCUUCCCCGAGCAAAUAAGAAACAUAAACCCAAUCCAGACUCACUGAUGUCAGUGGGAAUCUUGAAUUUAACUUGAAAGGCAUUGGAAAAACUUCAGUGCUUCUAGGAUUCAUGUUAAGAAAAGAUCCUAAACUUCAUUUUUGUCAGCAACACUAGAAAUUGCAUUAGGGUGGUGGUGGUUUUUACUGUAGGUUUCUCAGCAGGUUGCUUUCACAGCAAGAUGAAAAAGCAGCAUUCCACAUCAGCUAUUUUUGAGGAUUCACAAUUUCUGCCUAGAGAGCAGCAGAAUGAAAUGUUUGCUUAGUGCUUUGCAGGUUCCUCCUCCUGAAACUCUGACCUUGACCUGUACAACAAGCAUAUUCUUUUCACAGUGGUAAUGCUUUGCUAGUAUUUUGUUCUGCGCCAUCC